rnacentral:rRNA from 1 species
GGCGAACGGGUGAGUAACACGUGUUGUAAUCCGCCCUCGGCACCGGAAUAUGCCCUGGGGAAACCCGGAUUAAUGCCAGGGAUGGCUCUCGAGCUCCCGAGCUCGUGAGAAAAGGUAGCUUUGGCCUCCGGCCGAGGAUGAGCCCUGCGGCCGAUUAGCUUGUUGGUGGGGUAAUGGCUCACCAAGGCGACGAUCGGUAGCUGGUCUGAGAGGACGAUCAGCCACGACUGGGACUGAGCCAGGUCAAAAACCAAAGGGGGGCAGAGGGGGAAUCUUGCGCAAUGCGCGAAAGCGUGACGCAGCAACGCCGCGUGCGGGAAGACGGCCUUCGGGUUGUAAACCGCUUUCAGUUGGGACGAAGCUCCGUCGGUGAAUAGCCGGCUGGAGUGACCGGUCCUUCACAAAGAAGCCCCGGUUAAACUACGUGCCAGC